rnacentral:rRNA from 1 species
AUUGAACGCUGGCGGCAUGCCUUACACAUGCAAGUCGAACGGCAGCACGGGGCAACCUGGUGGCGAGUGGCGAACGGGUGAGUAAUGCAUCGGAACGUACCUUUCAGUGGGGGAUAACGUAGCGAAAGUUACGCUAAUACCGCAUAUUCUGUGAGCAGGAAAGCAGGGGAUCGCAAGACCUUGCGCUGAUUGAGCGGCCGAUGUCAGAUUAGCUAGUUGGUGAGGUAAAGGCUCACCAAGGCGACGAUCUGUAGCGGGUCUGAGAGGAUGAUCCGCCACACGGGAACUGAGACACGGUCCAGACUCCUACGGGAGGCAGCAGUGGGGAAUUUUGGACAAUGGGGGCAACCCUGAUCCAGCCAUGCCGCGUGAGUGAAGAAGGCCUUCGGGUUGUAAAGCUCUUUCGGCCGGGAAGAAAUCGCACGGGCUAAUACCCUGUGUGGAUGACGGUACCGGAAUAAGAAGCACCGGCUAACUACGUGCCAGCAGCCGCGGUAA